GGGAAGCUGAGCCCAGACACCAGGUAGGGACUCCCCGAGGGCGCAGACUUUCUUCCCUGUGACUAUAUCCAGCACUGGGUAGCACCCUCGGUCCAAGAGCCGUCCCUGGUGCUAUCUAUUCAUUCAGCAGUGUCCUCCAAAUGCUCUUGAACCAGAACUACAGUGACACGGAGAUGCGACUCAGUGGCAGCUUCCCUGGGUGCUUGUUGGGGGUGUGCUCAUGUCCCCCCGGGAGCUGUCUUCUUGCCAGUGGCUCGAGGGAAAAGCAGUACUUAGACAGAGGUAAGGAUAUAGAUGACAUCCACAUACAUAUUGACCAAAAAAGAGAAGAAAAGAAAAAAAGAAAAAAAGAAAAAAAGGAGAAAUACACUCUGCAAGCAAAGAGAAGGCACAAAAAAAGGUCAGUUUGAGAUGGCGAUUCCUGCCCAAAUUCCAUAUUUCAUCAGCAUUGUGCAGAAAACCUUUUGUGUUUAAUUUCCCCAGUGACCUUCCAAGUAUAUUAUGAAGACAAUUAAAACCUGUAUCCCAGAACCACAAAGUUUGCAGUGACCGGGCUAAGGUUAAUCAGUGCGAAUUGGGUGAAACAGCUUGUUCAAGUAAAAUUGAUUGAAAUCUUGAUGAGCAAAAAUGGAAAUUUUGCCUGCCAGUAUUGGCUCCCUUUUCUUAAGAACACGGCUGUGUAAGAUUUUUUAAAGUACUACUAGAAUCUCAUGCAAGCUUUUGUAAGAUGCCCAAGAAAUUGAUCGGGGUAAAGACCUAGGAUAUUUGCCAUUUGUGGAACUGUAAACAUAUAGCAAUUUAACUGAUUUUGAUACUUGGUAUGAUUUUUCCUUUAACCAAUGUCUCCCAAAUUUUGUACUUAUGUGGAUUUCAUGUGGGUGUGAAUCUAUAAAAUUGACCCAGAUUCUCUCUCAGCAGUAGAAUUGAUCUUUUUUUUUUUUUUUCCUACGUGCCUUGUAAAACAUAUCCAUGAGCUUGCCUGAUGAAACUGAGAAGAGAAUUUCUUCAAAUACCCGAAUUAUUUGCUAAACGUGUUUCUAGUUUGAACAUCUGUGGACUGUACACGUAAAUAUGGAGUCAACGUGAGAGAAUCUUGACCAUGCUGGAAACGGCAGCAAUGCUGACAUUCUCCUUCCACCCAAGAGCCAGCCCACAACCGGGGAAGCUGUCAGGACAUGAGGGCCGGGCUGACACCACCAUCCCUGGGCCGCUCGAAGCCGCCCCUUCUGCAGAGACAAACCCGCGCACCUGCUGGCUGGGCCGACCUGGAAAAAGCCAUUCAACAGGAUCCCUGGGACGCGCAGUCGGCCUCACGUCCUGAUUAAAGGUGCAGGCAGGGAAAGCUGGCAAGUGCAGGCCAAGUGAGACGAAUAUGGAAAGACAUUCCAGUUGUCGGGGACCCGUGUCACUUGCUCCUGGCAGAUGUGUUUGGAUUUGCGUCCCCAGGUCUUGACGGUUGUUCCCCACUUAGAUUCCGCAAGGUUUCUGCCGGAAUGGAAGAGGUGAUCUACCUGUAGUCAGGUUUCCCUUUGGAAAAACAUUUUCUGAGACGUGAAAAGUUGAGAAGAUAAAUAGCGCCACCCCAGUCUCC